rnacentral:rRNA from 1 species
CCUACGGGGGGCAGCAGUGGGGAAUAUUGCACAAUGGGCGCAAGCCUGAUGCAGCCAUGCCGCGUGUGUGAAGAAGGCCUUCGGGUUGUAAAGCACUUUCAGCGGGGAGGAAGGCGUUAAGGUUAAUAACCUUGGCGAUUGACGUUACCCGCAGAAGAAGCCACGGCUAACUCCGUGCCAGCAGCCGCGGUAAUACGGAGGGUGCAAGCGUCAAUCGGAAUUACUGGGCGUAAAGCGCACGCAGGCGGUCUGUCAAGUCGGAUGUGAAAUCCCCGGGCUCAACCUGGGAACUGCAUUCGAAACUGGCAGGCUAGAGUCUUGUAGAGGGGGGUAGAAUUCCAGGUGUAGCGGUGAAAUGCGUAGAGAUCUGGAGGAAUACCGGUGGCGAAGGCGGCCCCCUGGACAAAGACUGACGCUCAGGUGCGAAAGCGUGGGGAGCAAACAGGAUUAGAUACCCUAGUAGUC